rnacentral:lncRNA from 1 species
UUUUAUAUAUAAGUAAAUUUUCAUUUUUUUAAGUUCAUUUAAUAGUUGAUGUAUUUAGUCUAUAAUACUGACUAUAUACAUUUAAUUUUUAAAUAAAUUUAAAAAGUAAAAAAUUAUUAUUUAUAUAUAAAAUGGGAGGAAGUAUAGAGCUUUCAUAGCUUAAUUGUCAUUAUGCUUAUUCUCGCAGAGGCACAAAAACAAACGACAAUUCAUAACAAAAGGAGGACUGUGACAUAUAUUUUUAUCACAAUCAUCCGUAGUAUAGCAGAACAAUUUAUCUGUUAGGUCAAAUAAAAAUAAAAAAAUGUUACUAAAAAAUAAAUGAAUGAUUAUGUAUAUGAUAAAAAAAAAAUUAAAAUAGGUGUGCAAAACAACUUACUGCUAGAUACAAGAACAAUUAAAGAAAGAAAGAUCAUCAAUACAUGAACGAAUUUAAAAAUUUCAGCCAUAUUUUUCUUUUCAUAUAUUAAAUAAGAAAAUUGGUUGAUCAUUUUAUAAAUAAAACCCCAUCCACUUUAAUAAGCUUCAAUUUAAUAUUGUU